rnacentral:rRNA from 1 species
GACAGAGGCCUCAAGCGUUAGGCGGAAUCACUGGGCUUAAAGCGUGUGUAGGCGGAUCGUUAAGUGCCUUGUGAAAUCCCACGGCUUAACUGUGGAACGGCUGGGCAUACUGGCGGUCUUGAGCCAUCUAGGGGCGACUGGAACAAACGGUGGAGCGGUGAAAUGCGUAGAUAUCGUUUGGAACGCCAAUGGUGAAAACAGGUCGCUGGGGAUGAGCUGACGCUG